rnacentral:rRNA from 1 species
AUAUGGAUUUCCGUAGGUGAACCUGCGGAAGGAUCAUUACCGAGUGAGGGCCCUCUGGGUCCAACCUCCCACCCGUGUUUAUCGUACCUUGUUGCUUCGGCGGGCCCGCCUCACGGCCGCCGGGGGGCAUCCGCCCCCGGGCCCGCGCCCGCCGAAGACACACAAACGAACUCUUGUCUGAAGAUUGCAGUCUGAGUACUUGACUAAAUCAGUUAAAACUUUCAACAACGGAUCUCUUGGUUCCGGCAUCGAUGAAGAACGCAGCGAAAUGCGAUAAGUAAUGUGAAUUGCAGAAUUCAGUGAAUCAUCGAGUCUUUGAACGCACAUUGCGCCCCCUGGUAUUCCGGGGGGCAUGCCUGUCCGAGCGUCAUUGCUGCCCUCAAGCACGGCUUGUGUGUUGGGCUCUCGCCCCCCGCUUCCGGGGGGCGGGCCCGAAAGGCAGCGGCGGCACCGCGUCCGGUCCUCGAGCGUAUGGGGCUUCGUCACCCGCUCUGUAGGCCCGGCCGGCGCCCGCCGGCGAACACCAUCAAUCUUAACCAGGUUGACCUCGGAUCAGGUAGGGAUACCCGCUGAACUUAAGCAUAUCAAUAAGCGGAGGAAAUCGGAUCC